UGGGGAAUAUUGCACAAUGGACGGAAGUCUGAUGCAGCAACGCCGCGUGCGGGAUGACGGCCUUCGGGUUGUAAACCGCUUUUUCUCAUGACGAAGUUUUUUGACGGUAGUGGGGGAAGAAGCACCGGCUAACUACGUGCCAGCAGCCGCGGUGAUACGUAGGGCGCGAGCGUUGUCCGGAAUUAUUGGGCGUAAAGAGCUUGUAGGCGGUUUGUCGCGUCGAUAGUGCAAACUCAGUGUUUAACGCUGAGCCUGCUGUUGAAACGGGCAGACUAGAGGAAGGUAGGGGAGAAUGGAAUUCCCGGUGGAGCGGUGGAAUGCGCAGAUAUCGGGAGGAACACCGGUGGCGAAGGCGGUUCUCUGGGCCUUUCCUGACGCUGAGAAGCGAAAGCGGGGGGAGCGAACAGG
rnacentral:rRNA from 1 species